GGCUUUACUGUAUUUGAUCUUGGAUAUGUCCACUUAUCAUGCAUUAGUAUCUCAUUACUGUUGAUUAACCACCUUUUUUUUCAGCAAUCCUGCCAGAAACAUGGCCCACCUGCCCCACCACUGAUCUGGUGACACAUGCAGAGAUCAAUUUUGCAACUUGCAUUUCAACAUUCCUGCUUGAAGUGCGGAUCUCCUGCCCUUCAGCACACAUGGCCAGUCACAUGCCAAGAAUCCUGUAAUUCAUCUAAUAGAGCCAGCUCACCCUCA